GAUUCCAGCUGCCGAGAAAAGCCGCUAUUGUGUACCAUGUGCCCGUACCGUAAACCGACACAGGUGGAUGAGGAGAGAAUCCUAAGGCCGGCGGGAGAAGCAUUGUUAAGGAACUCGGCAAAAUGACCCCGUAACUUCGGGAUAAGGGGUGCCAGAGAGAUCUGGCCGCAGAGAAUAGGCUCAAGCAACUGUUUAGCAAAAACACAGGUCUAUGCGAAACCGUAAGGUGAUGUAUAUGGGCUGACGCCUGCCCGGUGCUGGAAGGUUAAGAGGAGAGGUUAGAGCAAUCGAAGCUUUGAAUUGAAGCCCCAGUAAACGGCGGCCGUAACUAUAACGGUCCUAAGGUAGCGAAAUUCCUUGUCGGGUAAGUUCCGACCCGCACGAAAGGCGUAAUGAUUUGAGCGCUGUCUCGACAAUGCACCCGGUGAAAUUGAAAUACCAGUGAAGAUGCUGGUUACCUGCGCCAGGACGGAAAGACCCCAUGGAGCUUUACUCCAGCUUGAUACUGGGAUUCGGUAAUGCAUGCACAGGAUAGGUGGGAGGCUA
rnacentral:rRNA from 1 species